GAUGAACGCUGGCGGCGUGCUUAACACAUGCAAGUCGAACGAUGAAGCUCAGCUUGCUGGGUGGAUUAGUGGCGAACGGGUGAGUAACACGUGAGUAACCUGCCCUUAACUCUGGGAUAAGCCUGGGAAACUAGGUCUAAUACCGGAUAGGAGCGCCUACCGCAUGGUGGGUGUUGGAAAGAUUUAUCGGUUUUGGAUGGACUCGCGGCCUAUCAGCUUGUUGGUGAGGUAAUGGCUCACCAAGGCGACGACGGGUAGCCGGCCUGAGAGGGUGACCGGCCACACUGGGACUGAGACACGGCCCAGACUCCUACGGGAGGCAGCAGUGGGGAAUAUUGCACAAUGGGCGAAAGCCUGAUGCAGCGACGCCGCGUGAGGGAUGACGGCCUUCGGGUUGUAAACCUCCUUCAGUAGGGAAGAAGCGAAAGUGACGGUACCUGCAGAAGAAGCACCGGCUAACUACGUG
rnacentral:rRNA from 1 species